rnacentral:rRNA from 1 species
ACGGGUGAGUAACGCGUGGGAAUGUGCCCUUUGGUACGGAACAACUGAGGGAAACUUCAGCUAAUACCGUAUGUGCCCUACGGGGGAAGAUUUAUCGCCAUUGGAGCAGCCCGCGUUGGAUUAGGUAGUUGGUGGGGUAAAGGCCCACCAAGCCGACGAUCCAUAGCUGGUCUGAGAGGAUGAUCAGCCACACUGGGACUGAGACACGGCCCAGACUCCUACGGGAGGCAGCAGUGGGGAAUCUUGCGCAAUGGGCGAAAGCCUGACGCAGCCAUGCCGCGUGUAUGAUGAAGGUCUUAGGAUUGUAAAAUACUUUCACCGGGGAAGAUAAUGACGGUACCCGGAGAAGAAGCCCCGGCUAACUUCGUGCCAGCAGCCGCGGUAAUACGAAGGGGGCUAGCGUUGCUCGGAAUUACUGGGCGUAAAGGGCGCGUAGGCGGACAGUUUAGUCAGAGGUGAAAGCCCAGGGCUCAACCUUGGAAUUGCCUUUGAUACUGGCUGUCUUGAGUUCGGGAGAGGUGAGUGGAAUGCCGAGUGUAGAGGUGAAAUUCGUAGA